rnacentral:tRNA from 1 species
GUUCUUGUAGUUGAGUUGUCAACGAUG